rnacentral:rRNA from 1 species
CCUACGGGUGGCAGCAGUGGGGAAUAUUGCACAAUGGGGGAAACCCUGAUGCAGCGACGCCGCGUGAAGGAAGAAGUAUUUCGGUAUGUAAACUUCUAUCAGCAGGGAAGAAAAUGACGGUACCUGACUAAGAAGCCCCGGCUAACUACGUGCCAGCAGCCGCGGUAAUACGUAGGGGGCAAGCGUUAUCCGGAUUUACUGGGUGUAAAGGGAGCGUAGGCGGUGAUGCAAGUCAGAAGUGAAAGCCCGCAGCUCAACUGCGGGACUGCUUUUGAAACUGUAUGACUAGAUUGCAGGAGAGGUAAGUGGAAUUCCUAGUGUAGCGGUGAAAUGCAUAGAUAUCACGCAGAACUCCGAUUGCGAAGGCAGCAUACCGGAGCCCAACUGACGCUGAAGCACGAAAGCGUGGGUAUCGAACAGGAUUAGAUACCCGGGUAGUC